AAAUCAGACCGUUUUGGCCACACGCCAAAAUUUUUCGGGCAAGUCUAGGCUGUAAUGGCCCCUGAGUAAACUCCACAAUACCCCAAUUCGGGGGUGCCGAGGAAACUCCCACCCCAAAAAAAACCGAACAACUGUUAACAAUGGAUAUCUUGGUUCUC
rnacentral:misc_RNA from 1 species